rnacentral:rRNA from 1 species
AGCGAACGCUGGCGGCGUGCUUAACACAUGCAAGUCGAACGUGAAAUGUAGCAAUACAGAGUAAAGUGGCGUACGGGUGAGUAACACGUGGGUAAUCUACCUUAGAGUCUAGAAUAACCGGCCGAAAGGCUGGCUAAUACUAGAUAGUUCAAGCGCACUGUAGAGGUGUGAUUGGGAAAGGGAGCUCGCAAGAGCCUUUGCUUUAAGAUGAGCCCGCGUCUGAUUAGCUAGUUGGUAAGGUAAUGGCUUACCAAGGCGAUGAUCAGUAGCUGGUCUGAGAGGAUGAUCAGCCACACUGGGACUGAGAUACGGCCCAGACUCCUACGGGAGGCAGCAGUGGGGAAUAUUGGACAAUGGGGGGCAACCCUGAUCCAGCCAUGCCGCGUGAGUGAUGAAGGCCCUAGGGUUGUAAAGCUCUUUUGUGCGGGAAGAUAAUGACGGUACCGCAAGAAUAAGCCCCGGCUAACUUCGUGCCAGCAGCCGCGGUAAU